rnacentral:rRNA from 1 species
AUGGCGACGGUUGGCAUCUCCGCAGCAAGCUGGGUAGUGGGCAAGGCUCUAAGCCCACUGUCCGGAGGCGUGCUGGAGGCAUGGAGUGCAAGCUCCAUGCUCGGAUCAAACAUGGAGGCCUUGAAGAUGCAGCUGCUGUACGCGCAGGCGAUGCUGAACAACGUCCGGGGCAGGGAGAUCCACAACCCUGCCCUGGGCGAGCUGCUAGACAAGUUGCGGCACCUCGCGUAUGGAGCCGAAGAUGUGCUGGACGAGCUCGACUACUUCCGCAUCCAAGAUGAGCUCGACGGCACCUACCAUGCCGCCGAUGCACAUGAUGCAGGCUUCGUCCAAGACCUCGCCCUCAAUGCUCGGCACACGGUGAGAGCAUGUGUGAAUAAGCUCAAGUUACCCGUGUGUUCGCGUGCUGCCACGCAGGUUGAGCAAGACGAUGGUGGAAAACAAGGAUACCUCUCAGGUUUCCGCUUUUGUGGAGUUCAUGAGAUUAGCUGCUCACCACCAUCACCCGCCAACCAGAUUCAUGGCAGAUGCAUGCCAAAGGUUGCCUCCAGCACCCGUGAAGCUGCCCACGCUGUCGGUAAACACUUCCCAUGCUAUUCUUUUCCAUCCGUCCACGAUGAUGAUCCUAACAAGGGCAUGUUGGAAUCCACCAACACGUGUGGAAAUGGGCAGCGAUUUCUUUGUGGCGCUUGGGUGUCCCCCAAGGCACCGCAGAAGAAUCAUGCCUUGCAAAUACCAAAGUUAAAGUUUGAUCGGGUAGAAAUGUCUACAAAAAUAAGGGACAUCGUAGAACAGCUGAAACCCGUAUGUGCCAUGGUCUCCACCAUUCUUAAUCUGGAGCUGCUGGGCUCGAGUCGUACCCCUGGACAAGAGGCUGUAAUAAACAGAGCCAAAACCACCCCAGAAAUCAUAGAGCCUAAAUUAUACGGGAGGGAUAGCCAAAACCAGAUUAUUGUGGAUGAAAUUGAUAAGGGUGAAUGUCGUGAACUUACUGUGCUUCCAAUUGUUGGCCCGGGGGGUAUUGGAAAGACAACCUUCACACAACACAUAUAUGAACAAAUGAAAAGCCAUUUCCAGAUUCCCAUUUGGGUAUGUGUCUCUUUCGACUUUAAUGCGAAUAGGUUGGCAAAAGAUAUUUUGAAAAAGAUCCCCAAAGUUAACAAUGAAAACAACACUUGUAGUGAUGAAGAACGUAUCAUGCAAAGAAUAAAAGGAAAGAGGGUUUUACUCGUCUUAGAUGAUGUGUGGACACAUCAUGAGAAUGAGCGGAAAAAACUAUUAAAUUUGUUUAAGAAAGAAGGGGCAAAAGGUAACAUGGUUAUAGUCACGACUCGAAUACCCGAGGUAGCAAACCUGGUUAAGACAACUGAAUGCUCACUAGAAUUGGACAGAUUAUGUGGUGACGAUAUUAAGUCUUUCUUUGAAGAAUGUGUAUUUGGUGACCAAAAACCAUGGGUUGACUAUCCAGAAUUAUCCGAAGUUGGCAGCAAAAUAGUGGACAAGCUGAAAGGUUCCCCUCUUGCAGCAAAAACUGUUGGUAGAUUACUAAGAAACAAACUUACAUUGAAAAACUGGACAAACGUUCUGGAAAGUAAAGAAUGGGAAUCGGAAAGCAAUGACGAUGAUAUUAUGCCAGCUUUAAAGCUCAGCUAUGACCAUCUUCCUUUCCAUUUACAACAAUGUUUCUCUUUUUGUGGUUUGUUUCCUGAAGAUUAUGAAUUUGGUAGCGAAGAGUUGGUUCACUUUUGGAUUGGACUAGAUAUUUUACAUUCACGUGACCAGAAGAGAAAAAGGCUUGAAGAUGUUGGACUGUGCUAUUUAACAGACUUGGUAAAUCAAGGAUUUUUCAAAAUGAAUAAAAAGGAAGAUGGACGUCCUUAUUAUGUCAUCCAUGACUUACUGCAUGAGUUGGCAGUGAAGGUUUCAUCGUAUGAAUGUCUUAGCAUCUAUAGUUCUAGCGUGAGGCACAUAGAAAUCCCCCCGUGUGUACGUCACUUGUCUAUAACCAUAGAUAACACGGAUGUACAGGAUAGGAUGUCUUUUGAAGACCGUGAUGGAAAUUUAAGUGCACUAGAUAAGCGGCUGAAAGUUGAACACCUACGUACUUUAAUGUUAUUUGGUGAUUACCAUGGAAGCUUUGUCAAAACUUUAGGUGGAUUGUUUAAGGAAGCUACAGCCCUUCGUGCCAUAUUUUUGUCCAAAGCAUCGUAUAAUUUGGAGGACAUAUUGCAGAACUUUUCAAAACUUGUCCAUCUUCGCUACCUAAGGAUCAAGUCUGUAUAUGACUGUCAGUUGUGCUUACCAAAUGCGCUAGUUAGAUUGUAUCAUUUGGAGGUCAUUGAUCUACAAAAUGUGGUGCAUUGUGUUUUUUCAACUAAACACAUGAGAAACCUUGUGAAAUUGCGUCAUUUUCUUGUGCCAGAAGAAAAGCUCCAGUUUCAUUCUGACAUUUAUGGGGUGGGAAAACUAAAAUUCAUUCAGGAAUUGGGAUUAUUUAGAGUGGGAAAGGAGAGUAAUGGUUUUGAACUUAGCCAGCUAGGGCCAUUGGCAGAGAUUGGAGGAUCACUUCGCAUUUAUAAUCUCGAAAAUGUGCAAACCAAAGAGGAAGCAAACGAAUCCAAACUGUUGCAUAAGAACCACUUAAGAAGACUUGUAUUAGGAUGGAAUGUUAGGCGACCUAACAAGGAUCCUGUAAAGGAAGAAAAUGUUCUAGGCAGUCUUGUACCGCAUAGCAAUCUUGAAGAGUUGUACAUUAGUGGGCAUGGGGGCACUAAAUGCCCAAAAUGGCUAUGUGAGAAUCUCUCGGUUAAAUGUUUGGAAACUCUUUGUCUGGAUGGUGUGUCUUGGAGAAACCUUCCACCUUUAGGAGAGAUUUGGAUGGUUAAUGAGCUUGGUAAAGAGUAUCAGGGUUGUAGUAUCCCACCUGCAGGCUUCCAUAAUCUAAAAAAGCUACGGUUAAGUGGCAUAUCUAGUCUAAAAAGAUGGGUUGGAAAUGGCCCUUGUUCUCUCUUUUCUCACUUGGAAGUGCUCAUCAUUAGACAUUGUUCUGAACUCAUCGAGUUGCCGUUUUCACAUACUCCAACUUGCUGUGAAGCACAGCCGCAGGAGAAAAUGGCUUGGUUUCAUAGACUAGAGAAGCUUGUCAUUGCAGACUGCCCAAAAUUAGAGUCCUUGCCUCCCAUCCCUUGGCAGACUCGUGCACCCUGCUCUGCUGAUAUAGAACAAGUGGGACCAGUUGAGCGCCUGUGGUAUGGGUACUCAUACGAAUCGAAGUUAAGAUUGAACAUUGAGGGAAAGGGUGACGUAUUGUGGAGUGGGUUGAAUUUCUCUAAUCUAGCUCCUCUAGAUGAGUUGCGGAUGAAAAAGAUCCGUCCCCUGCCGCUGGAUGACUUCCAGGUGCUUACAUCUCUGAAGAAGAUUGAGAUAGAGGGUGUGAGCAGCAGCGUCUUGCUGCCGGUUGAAGGUGAUCGGUGUCGUGGCGUAUACCAGUUUCCAGUUGAAGAAGUUGUGAUCAAAGGGUGUGAAACUAUUUGGAAAGAAUUGACGCUGCUGCUCUCUUUCUUUCCCAACCUCUCAUGGUUUUGGAUAGAGAACUGUGAGAAUAUAACUGGGUUGGGUGUGGCGGAGGAGGCAGAAACUGUUGCUGGAGAGCAGGAGCAACAGACAAGAGUUGGAGAGGACGAAAUAAUAACAGCAGUGGCAGCAGAAGGACUGCUGCUCUUGCCUCCCCACCUACAGGAGUUGUGGGUAUGGCGUUGCCCAAGGGUGAGCAUACUCCCCAAUCCAAUGCGGGAUGAUGAUCACACAUCAGCAACAGGAGGAGGCCUCCAACGUCUCGGCUCCCUCCGUCGAUUGGUUGUACAUGAAUGCCCUGAAUUCCUGUCCUCCUGUUCGUCCUCGCCCUCCUCUUUUUUCCCCUUCCCGACCUGCCUGCAAGACCUAUUACUACGCGGUGUGAAGCACAUGGAGACGCUGCAAGCCCUCUCAAACCUCACCUCUCUCACCGAAUUAUACUUGGAUAUACUGGGGGACUCAAGAGACGAGGGCUUAUGGCCUCUCCUCGCCCACGGCAGCCUCAAGAGAUUAGAGAUCUGUGCUGACUCUGACCUCUUCCUUGGUUCCCAUCCAGCAAGGCCACAUGACAAAGAGGUUUUUUCCCAGUCCUGCCAGCUCCUCCAUCUGAAUAUUAACGUCUACGCAGGAGUCCUUGCUGUGCCCAUCUGCAACCUCCUCUCUUCCACUUCCACCCUCACCAAUUUGGACCUCAGAUUCGACACGGAGGUGGAACACUUGACAGAGGAGCAAGAGGAGGCCCUUCAGCUCCUCACUUCCCUCCGGGAGCUAUUUUUUUUCGAUGGAGACAAGCUGCAGCGCCUCCCUGCAGGGCUUCACAACCUUACCAAUCUCAAGAAAUUGAGGAUCAAUGGUUGUCCGGCCAUACGGUCACUGCCCAACCUUCCGAGCUCUAUGCAGGAAUUGCAGAUUGAGUUCUCGGGUGCCAUCAAGUCGCUGCCCAACAGCCUCCCGAGCUCUCUAGAAAAAUUGGUGAUCACAGACUGUGAGGCCAUCAAGUCGCUGCCCAAGAAUGGCCUUCCGAGUACAAUGCGAGAGUUAGAUGUCAGCUAUGGCAACAGCAAGGAGCUAAAGAUGGAUUGCCGCAAGCUGAUAGGAACCAUCCCGAUAGUCAGAACCUGA